rnacentral:rRNA from 1 species
UUUUGAUUAUAAUUAAAGGUUUAACCUGCCCACUGAGGAUUUUAAUGGCCGCAGUAUUUUGACUGUGCUAAGGUAGCAUAAUAAUUAGUUUUUUAAUUAAAAACUAGUAUGAAGGGUUGGACGAAAGAAAAUCUGUCUUUAAUUUUAUAGUUAGAAUUUUAUUUUUAAGUUAAAAAGCUUAAAUUUUAUUAAAAGACGAGAAGACCCUUUAGAGUUUUAUAUGUAUAUAAUUGUUAUUAAUUUAGAAAUUAAUAUAAAUAAUUAUAUAUUUAUUUGGUUGGGGUGAUUGAAAAAUUUAUUUAACUUUUUAUUAAAUUUAAAUAUAAUUAUAUAAGUUAUUGAUCCAAUUUUUUUGAUUAUAAGUUUAAAUUACCUUAGGGAUAACAGCGUUAUUUUAUUUGAGAGUUCAAAUCGAAAAUAAAGAUUGCGACCUCGAUGUUGGAUUAAAA